AACGAACGCUGGCGGCGCGCCUAAUACAUGCAAGUCGAGCGAGAAGACGUAGCAAUACGUUUGUAAAGCGGCGAACGGGUGAGGAAUACAUGGGUAACCUACCCUCGAGUGGGGAAUAACUAGCCGAAAGGUUAGCUAAUACCGCGUACGCUCCUUGGACUUCGGUUCAGGGAGGAAAGCGAUACCGUGGGUAUCGCGCUCUUGGAUGGGCUCAUGUCCUAUCAGCUUGUUGGUGAGGAACGGCUCACCAAGGCUUCGACGGUAGCUGGUCUGAGAGGACGAUCAGCCACACUGGCACUGCGACACGGGCCAGACUCCUACGGGAGGCAGCAGUAAGGAAUAUUGCGCAAUGGGCGAAAGCCUGACGCAGCGACGCCGCGUGGGGGAUGAAGGUCUUCGG
rnacentral:rRNA from 1 species